UCACAAUCCCUAGUUUUCCCCAUUUACUACGUCACUGUUUUCUUUUUUCAUCUUCUGGUUUCACUCCUUCUUCUCCACCACUUCACAUUCGCUUUUCCUUCUUCCCUUCUCAUUUUCCCUUCUUAGCUUCCCUUCUUCUUAUUCAAACAUCUCACCAUCUUCUAAGUUCUUUCAAUCCUUCUCCAAUCGUUAUUGUCGGCUCUCACUCACUACCUUCCUUCGUCACUUCUUUAGCCACAAAAAGCACAACCCUAUGUCUUGCACGAAACCACCCGCGGCGGUGAAUCCAGUGUUGGCAGAGCUGCCAACAACGUAACCCGGUUUCUCUACUAGAAUCUCAAAUAGCACUACUCUAGAAGGAGCAAGCAAUGGUUUAUUUAGGUGGUAUAAUUGUUGGAUUUGAAAUUGAAAGCAUUGAUGAUCUAAUAUACUUUGCAAAUGCAUUUGGAGCAAUCCAAUUAAGGUUACAAAUUUUGAGUAUGUUGUUAAGGCUGAAGCUGCAACAGAGGAGGUUGUAGGAGUUUAGUGUCAUGGGAAAAGGGAAGCGUAACCAGAAGCUGGUAAACCAAUGCUGAAUUGGGGCAUUAGGAAGCACAUUUCUUUGGGAGCAGCAAGAGGACUAUUGUACCUUCAUGAGCAAUUUCCAUAGUGAGGGGCAUAAGACAACACAUUGCUUUGGGAGUAGCAAGAGGACUAUUGUACCUUCAUGAGCAAUUUCUACAAUGAGGGGCAUAAUGGGGCAUAUUAUUUGAAUAUUGUUGUCUAGUAAGAAAGGAUAUCAAGAGUGAAUCCUUAAUGUUACUAACCUUGAAUGCGAUAAGAAGAAUUAUGUGAGACAUCAUUUGAUUAUUAUCUAUGAUUACAGAAUGGAUAUGUAAAUGGUUCACAGUCUUGGUCAUAUGGUUUAGGUAGCUAUAAAAAAUGUGGAAACUAUUUCGUGUGAGAGUAAAUAUUUUAUAUGCUUGUUUUUCUUUAAUAGAAGUGGGAUUUAAUUUAAUAUAUUGCCUACUGAUGUAGCUGGUUAUCUUCACAUAAUCAAUCAAAUGAAGGAGCUCAUAACUGGAGCAGGCAAGAAGGCCUAUACUUUGCUUAUGGGAAAGCCAAACCCAGCUAAACUUGCUUACUUUCCUGAGGUGAAAUUUACUACAUCCGUAGUAUAUAUUUCAGUCUGUCUUUUUGUAAAAACUU